GAGCAACGCCGCGUGAGUGAAGAAGGGUUUCGGAUCGUAAAGCUCUGUUGUUAGAGAAGAACAAGGAUGAGAGUAACUGUUCAUCCCUUGACGGUAUCUAACCAGAAAGUCACGGCUAACUACGUGCCAGCAGCCGCGGUAAUACGUAGGUGGCAAGCGUUAUCCGGAUUUAUUGGGCGUAAAGCGAGCGCAGGCGGUUUCUUAAGUCUGAUGUGAAAGCCUUCGGCUCAACCGGAGAAGGGCAUUGGAAACCGGGAGACUUGAGUGCAGAAGAGGACAGUGGAAUUCCAUGUGUAGCGGUGGAAUGCGUAGAUAUAUGGAGGAACACCAGUGGCGAAGGCGGCUGUCUGGUCUGUAACUGACGCUGAGGCUCGAAAGCAUGGGUAGCGAACAGGAUUAGAUACCCUGGUAGUCCAUGCCGUAAACGAUGAGUGCUAAGUGUUGGAGGGUUUCCGCCCUUCAGUGCCGCAGCUAACGCAUUAAGCACUCCGCCUGGGGAGUACGACCGCAAGGUUGAAACUCAAAGGAAUUGACGGGGGCCCGCACAAGCGGUGGAGCAUGUGGUUUAAUUCGAAGCU
rnacentral:rRNA from 2 species